rnacentral:rRNA from 1 species
UACGUAGGGGGCGAGCGUUGUCCGGAAUCAUUGGGCGUAAAGCGCGUGUAGGCGGCCCGGUAAGUCUGAUGUGAAAACUUGAGGCUCAACCUCAAGCUGUCGUUGGAUACUGCCGGGCUAGAGUACGGAAGAGGAGAGUGGAAUUCCUGGUGUAGCGGUGGAAUGCGCAGAUAUCAGGAGGAACACCUAUGGCGAAGGCAGGUCUCUGGGCCAUAACUGACGCUGAGAAGCGAAAGCAUGGGGAGCGAACAGG